rnacentral:rRNA from 1 species
ACCCGCACAAGCGGUGGAUGAUGUGGUUUAAUUCGAUGCAACGCGAAAACCUUACCCACCUUUGACAUGUACGGAACCCUUUAGAGAUAGAGGGUGCUCGAAAGAGAGCCGUAACACAGGUGCUGCAUGGCUGUCGUCAGCUCGUGUCGUGAGAUGUUGGGUUAAGUCCCGCAACGAGCGCAACCCUUGUCAUUAGUUGCUACAUUCAGUUGGGCACUCUAAUGAGACUGCCGGUGACAAGCCGGAGGAAGGUGGGGAUGACGUCAAGUCCUCAUGGCCCUUAUAGGUGGGGCUACACACGUCAUACAAUGGCUGGUACAAAGGGUUGCCAACCCGCGAGGGGGAGCCAAUCCCAUAAAGCCAGUCGUAGUCCGGAUCGUAGUCUGCAACUCGACUACGUGAAGUCGGAAUCGCUAGUAAUCGUGGAUCAGAAUGUCACGGUGAAUACGUUCCCGGGUCUU